rnacentral:rRNA from 1 species
CGGACGGGUGAGUAACGCGUGGAUAACCUGCCUCACACUGGGGGAUAACAGUUAGAAAUGACUGCUAAUACCGCAUAAGCGCACAGUACCGCAUGGUACAGUGUGAAAAACUCCGGUGGUGUGGGAUGGAUCCGCGUCUGAUUAGCCAGUUGGCGGGGUAACGGCCCACCAAAGCGACGAUCAGUAGCCGACCUGAGAGGGUGACCGGCCACAUUGGGACUGAGACACGGCCCAA